AAAUCUUUCUAAAUUAUUAUUCCCAAUACAUGAGCUAUAUACUAUCUCAUAUAUGUAUUUAAAAACAUUCUAAUUUUUAUAUUUUCAGUUAAUGGGGGGGAUUAUAGGAUUUAGAGGUGCCAAGUCAUUUGUUACGUAUUGCUUUUUGCUAUCCAGUUACACUGGGUUAAUUUAGUUAGUCAUAAGUUCCCAUUUUUCAGCAUUUUGUUAGUUGCAGAUGUUAAACCAGGCUUAGGUAUGGGGGUGGGGAGGUUGACAGAUGUAUAAGCAGCAAAACAAAACAAGAACAGAGCCUGCAUUGUAGAGGAGGUGGUGGAGAAGGUCCUUUCUAGAGGUCUAUGCCUACCUUAAGCAUAAGAAUCCUAUCAUGCCAAUAUCUAGUUCCUGAACCCAUGUCUGAUCAGGAGUUAGGGAGAGCCUGGAUAUUUGAAAUAGCCUAAAAGCAUUUAACCUUUGAUUUCCACAAUUUGUUCCUCCCCUCUGUUGUUACAGCCAGCAGCAGCCUGGAGCAGCGCCCCUGGAAAGAAAUUUUACAUCGGCCAUUAUAAUACAACCUGAUAAGUGUUACAGCACUUACCAGGUUGUAUUGUAAUUGUCUGUGUAUAUGCCUGUCUCCUUUCCUAUGUUAUCAGUUAGACUGUGAGCUCCUUGAGGGCAGGGACAGAGUCUUCUCCAGAGCCCAGCCUGGCACAUUAGUAGGCUUCAGUAAAUGUUUAUUGGAUGAAUAAAUGAAUGACUCAUCAACAAACAUUUAUCGUGUGCCUGCUAAGGUGAUCUCCACAGGCUCUGGACUGUCAACUGUUUAUUCAAAAUGCAUGUGGUCAGAAACUUGGUGUUUCUUUCUAAUUAUGUAUCUAUCGUAAGAGUUUUUCUGAGAUAAUGCUAUUUUUUUGUGUGUUUGGAUUUCAGUCCUUGGUAUUUACAGAUGUUGCUACUGUUGUUGCUGCUGACAGCCUCUUCCUUGGUGGGACCUGGGUGAUAGCUGCCAGAUCAUGAGCCUCAUCCUCACUGCCCAGUGUUUGCUCAAUGGUUCCUGUUUGUAGAAUCAUCCCCUUUUCACCCCUCCUCAGAUCAUCCUUCAAAUGGUGUUCCUAGGUGACACCAAAUGUGAUCAGAAGCCAUGCCCAUGGUGAAGAGAUAUACUGAACCCGGCCUGGCCCAGUGAGGUUACUAGAGAAUUGGGAAAGGCUUAAAUAAGUAUCCUGCACAUGGUUAUCAAAUCAUUGUAAAGUCUUGAAAAUCAUCUGGAAUGCUUGUUAAAAAUGCAGAUUUCUGGGCAGCCAGAAACCUUGCACUAGUCAAGAGCAACACUAAGACCCACCUGUCAUUUAUAUUGAGGCUUCCUGCCCGGUGGGUUCAUCAGCAAGCCAGAAUGAAUCACCAUUGCUGUGUGUGGAUCCUUGUGAGGCAGCUGGGAAGUCUUGGCUAAAUUGUGAAGGAUGUCUUUUGAAAAGUGUUCUAGAGAGUCUACUGGUUUUCCCACAUGAGUGAACGUGUAGCAGAAGAGAGGAUCCUCUCAGUGAUUAAGGCGACCUUAGAAACAACUUGUUGAGUUCUCACCAUGAAUACCAUUGGAAUUGCAGUUGGAAUGGCAUUAAACAUGUAGAUUAAUUUUUGGAGAGCGAUCAUCUUUAUAAUCUUCUCCUACAUGAAUGUGUUUCUUCUCUGCUGCCUAUUGAGCUGCCAGGCACUGUGCUGGGUGAUGGGGAUAUGGAGACGAAUUAGACACAGUUCCUGCCCUCAGGAGUUCUCAGUCUAGUGAGAGAGUUCGACAUGUACACAGAUAAUUACAACAUAUGGUAUGCUCUACAAUGGAGAACAAGUCUGGAAUGUGCCAAAUGCUAUUAUCAACUGUCGUUGCCACUAAUAAUGAUGUUGACCAUGUCUGGGAUUAAAAGAAGAUAGUUAACCAGAGGUGCUUAUGUUUUACGUUGUCAAUGAGGCUCUUCAGGUGUGAGAAAGAAAGGGAAACUAACUGGCCUGAAGGUUUUCAAUGGUAUGUUAGUAUGAAGUCAACUCUCUACCUUCUUUUUCUUCUCUGCCAAAUAGGUUGGGAAACCAGAUGAAUUUUUCCAUGCCCUGAUCACUAAUCUAUUGCCUUUGCUCUUAUUUCCAAAUAGAAACCUGUUGAAAAGUUGUGUUACACCUGAAUAAAGGUUAUCCUAAAAAUGUAGAAAAAUGCUUUGGAGUUGGUCAAAACUGGACUUGAAACCUGACUCAACUGCUUACUAGCUGUGUGAUCUAAGACAUGUUACUUAACCUCACUGAACCUCAGUUUUUUCAUCGAAUAUAAUAAUUUGCAGGGUUUCUCUGAGGAUAUUUGUGAAGUGUAUGUCAUAAGCACUAAGUCAUAGCUGUCAUUGUUAGUUCUUGGGAUACUCACCACGUGACAGAAACAACAGCGGGCCCUGGUGGCUGGGAGGACUGCAUGGAUCCAACCUCAACCUGGAGUUGUGCUCUUCUGAAGAAAUCCUACUCGGAUGGAUAUAAUACAACCUGCUAAGUGUCCUCGCACUUAUCAGGUUGUAUUAUCAUUGUCCGUGUCUAUGGCUCUCGUCUACCAGACUCUAAAUUCCUUACAGGCAAGGACAGUGCCUUGUUCAUCUUUGUAUUCGGUGCCUAAUCCCGUGCACAUUGUAGGCCUCAUUAAAUGUUUGUUGAAUGAAAAAAUGAAUCAUCAACAGACAUUAAUUGGGCGCCUGCUCUGUGAUCUCCAUGGGCUCAGCUUUUCCCCGCCAGUUGCCUACAACGUCCAAGCUGUCUUCAAUAUGCUUUCUCCUGGAGCUUACUCCUAUCUUCUCACUCUUUUGCCGAGGACUUUUCUGUGUAGUACAAAGAUAGCAGAUAUACUUCAUCUCAAGUACCAUCUCCAAUCGGUCAAUAGUACCUGCCUCGAUUAUGUUUCACAAAAAGGAUGCUGAAGCCAGGUCUCACUCAGUUCAGUGUGAAAGAGAGUUAUAACUAAUUAGCUAUGUUUACUGAAGGUGGGAGAAGGGGGAAUAGCAGCCUAAGUGCCGCAUAUAUAUCAUAUUUAAUAUGUUUUCCGUGAAAUAUUCUGUUUCCAUGCCUGUAUUUUAGUCUUGGCUACUUGCAGAUGUUGCAUGCCUGCUGCUGCUGCUGCUGCUGCUACUACUACUACUACAGUUGCUGCUGAUUGCUCCUUGGGUAGGACCAAAGUGAUCAUUGAUCAGAAACUUCAUCCUCACAGUCUGGGGGUUGCUCCUGUGGCUGGUAUUCACAGUUUCCCCUUUCAACUUUACCUCAGCUAUCCCCUUACCUACAGUGAAAGGUAGGCCUCCACUUUCCGUUCACCACUCAACAGGCUCCUAUUUCCUUUUCCUUCUUUAGUAUGAUUAAUGACUCUUGUUCCAUGAGAAGCCUUCUUUCUGGUAGAAGAUGUGACAAAUAGAGUACAAGUUAAAUGAUUCCGUCAGGGCGCUACAGUGAGUCGUAUAAGCUGCCCUUUAAUGUGGGAGAAAAUGGAGUAUGCUUGCAGACUUCGGGGCAGGAAGAACAGAGAAGGAAGUCAUUGUUGAUGGGGGAAAGAAAGACACUAACAGAUGGAAUAAGUUCCUGAAAAAUGAUGGCAGAAGGGAGGGUGAAACCUAUGACUCUAAAAUAGGGGGAGAGAGAGCACCUCAGAUGAAAGGAAUUACCUCCUCGCUGGAGCAUAGGGAUAGGAGUUAGGAGAAACAUGUGACAAGGGUGUUGAAGAUUUGUAAUUGUUGAUGUGGAUGAUGGAGAGGAAGCUGACAGGAUUAUGGGACAGGGAUUAUGGGACAGGAUUAUGGGGACAAAUAAUCCAGGGACAGGAUUAUGGGACAAACCAGAGUCCAAGGGAUAUUUGGGCCAAAAGGCUAGAGUGGGGCCUUUCGGUCUAUUAAAGUGAGAUACUAUUAUAUUAAAUUAUAUACUAAAUUAAAGUAAGAAACCAGAAACUCGAGAAACUUUAAAGUGGUCUUAGGCCACCCGUCACAAGUAACUUGAUUGCCUGGGACUGACCUUUAUUGGUUGAGGGAUGGACAGCUAGCAAGAGAGGGGCUACACAGAAAUGAAUUUGAAACUCCAGACUAUAUGUGGAAGGAAGUUAGAUCAGAAGUGAGCUGAAAGUCUGUGAAUGAAAAAAGGCCCUAGUGUGAUCAAGAUGGUUGUUGGGUAGUUGGAAAUUGGAAUAAUAGAACCUGUAAUCAGAGAGUGGAUUUUGAAACAUUAAGAUUGCAAAACCAGAGUGGUCAAGGUAACUUGUGAAGUGAGGUUGUCAGAUGGUCAGUUACAUAAAUACUGAAGUGACCCGGGACUAUAGCAAAAGCCAAGCUGGGAAUGAACUCUGGAGGCCAGGUGUAACAGGCCUUGAUGCCUGAGGAGUGAUUUAGAGGUUGGCACAUGGCAACUGUGCAGGUGUAAGAGAAGAAACGAUGUAGUGGGAUAGUUGUAUGAGCCACGGAGGAGCGGUAGGGAUCAUUAGAAGUUACCAAAACCAUGAUCUGCACAUUGCUCCGAGGUGUUGGCUUGCAGAAUGCCUAGCUAAAGUGAUCCCCUCCUCUAUCGGGUGCUUGCUCUAUACCCAGCAACUUGCUGUGUGCUAACCAUUUACCCCGUCUGGGUCUGUCACAUAUCAGGUAUGAGAAAAUGAGCAGCAUUCCCGAGCAAGGACAGCUAGGGGAGCUGCUGGCCCUUUGAAUUGACAGAAUGCUGUGGCCGUGUCUACAGACUGGUCAGCUUGAAGUGGCAUCAAAAGAUUUCUUUUCGACCCAAAUUUUUCCUUGACCUUGACCUAACUUUAUCCACGUGGUACAAGUUUGUGUUGGCUGUUCCAUAAUGUACUUUGACUUCUGAGUCUCUGACUUGAGGAGUAUGCUAGAACUGUCCUUUAAAAAACAACAGGCACAGCACAUUAAAAGCACAGAUUAAUUAACUAGAACAAGGGGGCCCUGUUACAUAAUUGAGCUUUUAAGAUAAAGGAUAGACAAAAGAAAGCUCCCAUCAGUGUGUAACAACAGCACUUUGUGACAGCCACUCUAAGGUCAGGAUACAUCUAGUUUAGUGGCCAUAUUGUACAUAUUCCCUGUUGUUGUUGGGAAGAAGGGCUGGAAAUUGAUGCAGAGAGGUGUCCCUUAGGACUUGGAAUGUAAAGUUUAGGAGAAGAGAAUCUCCAUGAAUCCUGUGACACUGCAUGUCAUCAUUUUUCCUCUGUUAUAGUCUUUGAAUGAGUCAAUAUUUCAAUGAAGGGGUAGAGCCCUUGAGACAGAGUUCCCAGGCCCUUAGACCGUACGUACAUCCCCUCCUUUGGGGCCGCUUUAUAUUUAUUCCUCAGGAGGAUCUGGUAGAAGACUUCGUGUGAGGAAGAAGAAAAAGAAAGAAGCAGAGAAUCACUACAGCCUGUCUUCAUAUCAGCUUCACAAAGCACCACUCAACAGAGGGCUUACUCUCUUGAGACUCCAGACCACAGGUUGCUCUUUUCAAUUGCACGUUUGGCCCUCUCAGCUACUUCCUACAUUCAGAAAUUGUACUGUAUGUGCAUGUAUGAACUAUCAUUUCCCAUAAAGACUACUCCGUGUUCACAGCAAAAAAAAAAAAAAAUCCCUAAAAUAAGGUAUAAUGCUUGUUCUGUUAGGUUUCCAAUAGUCACAAAUUGCUGGAUCUCCACUGCUGUAAUACAGGCCACCAGAGAUGAGUUUGGGUUUCGGAAACAAAGGACCCCAGCUUCCUGGAAGGAAGGCAGUCGGUUGACUUGAAAGUAACCCCUAUCCCUGCAUUCUUAUUAUUUCUUUUUCCUUCAGCCCCUUGACUAAGAUACCACUGAUGAAAGCAAAAAAGCCAUACUUUCCCCUUCUGCUGGCACUUUUCUGGCCUACGUAUAUGCCUUUAGGAGUCACUCUCUCUUUAUCAGCACUUCCUUCUUCCCAUCUCUUAAGACCCAGAGAGUCAUGAAUGCUAGAGUUGGGGUUGAACUUGUCACACCUACCUCCUGCAGUUGGGGAAUACUAAUGUUAAUCAGCCUGAUACCCACUUCCACCUGAUAAUCAUGGCAGCCACUGGAGGAGCUGUAGCUAAGGCCAGCAACCGUAUGGACCCCAGCCCCAAGACUCACUCCUGAUGUCUCAACUGAUUGUGAAAAACUAGUAGGAGGGCUUGCCCCACCCCAGCCCCCUUCUGAGUUGGUCAUCAGAGAUCAGGACUUGUCUUAGGGCCUAUGUUACAUAAGGACAGAUAUCUCAUAAACAGUAUCAGGAGUCCUGGUUACCUUUUAUCUCUCUUGGGGAUGGGCAGGAUAGGGCAUAAGGAUAAGUGGUAAGUCUUGUGCCUUUCAAAUAUAUUCCCAGUGAUUCCUCAGGACACCCUUGGUCACACCAUCUGGUGCCUAAUCCUGGGUCUCGCCUCUUCAAAGCUUUCCUAGUGUGUUCCUUGCUCUCACUAACCACCUUUUAUUUCCUGCCCCAUCCUGAUGGAUUUCAGCAGGUGUUUUUUCUUUUCCCUUCCUCAGGCCGUCUGUAACAGCCUUUCAUCUGGGAGGAGCCUUGUGAAUGAGUGAAUGAAACCUCAGUGAGUGUUUACAAUGACACCCAUGUUUUUCUAUGGAUAUAAGGAGAAAGAAGGCUAUGAAAUGCCAUCAUGGAGUAACAAAAAUUUGACAUUUUAGUGGAUAUUGGACCUAGAAGCCUACAUGAAAGAAGGAAGCAAACCUGAGAUUCUGAUGUUUGUGAGUGAAGAUAGGAGUGAACUCCUUACUGCUGUUAGUAAUGGAAGAAGAGAGGGGAGAAAAGUGAGGGAGGUCAUACAGUCCUUCACUUCAGUGGAGGGAGUGCUGAGACUUGCUUCAUAAACCAGUAACUUAUUAAGGUGGAUUGGAGAGGAAUUGUUGCACUGCACUAUUUCUUUUGCUGUUUGUGUUAAGUCACUGCCAGGCACUGUCCUCAGGUAGAGCUGCCUUUGUGGAGGUUUCUGUUGACCCCUAAUGAGAAACAACCCAGAACAAGGUUUGCGACUUAGAACUCUCUGGUUCAGUGACAGAGUUUUAAAGAGGUUGAGGACAGAGGAAAUAGCACAAGUAGUACCAGAUAGCCUAGUUUUUCUUAUUGGAUGGGCGAGGUAGAGGCAGAGGGCACAAUGAUUCUAGGCAACUCCAAACCCCUGGUAAGGCAUUAGGAAACAAUAUAAUGAAAGGUUAGCCCUUAGACCUAUUGAUUUGUCAUUCCCCAGAGCGUGAUAGAUUAUCUAAAAGAACAAGGAGAGCUGCUUUGGAGAAAAGUUCUAAAAGAUUCUUUCAGAGAACAUAUUUAAAAGAUGGGGAGCUUCCUGUUAUGUAAUAUGGGCAUUACAGCUUUUAAAGACUUCUGUUCCAAAUAGCCAAAUUAUGGAAAGAGCCUAAAUGUCCAUCAGCUGAUGAAUGGAGAAAGAGAUUGUGGUUUAUAUAUA